UAGGGAAUCUUCCACAAUGGACGAAAGUUUGAUGGAGCAACGCCGCGUGAGUGAAGAAGGGUUUCGGCUCGUAAAACUCUGUUGUUAAAGAAGAACAUAUCUGAGAGUAACUGUUCAGGUAUUGACGGUAUUUAACCAGAAAGCCACGGCUAACUACGUGCCGG
rnacentral:rRNA from 1 species